rnacentral:snoRNA from 1 species
AUCCUUUUGUAGUUCACAGCAUGAUGACUGGGUUUUAAGUUCAUGUGUGAGAUGUGCCCCUUCAAACCUUUUUACGAUAUCUGGUGGAUU